rnacentral:lncRNA from 1 species
UUACAGCUGGUCUGGAGGGCAGAUGAUCCACAAGGUUGGGUCUGGGGUCAGUUAGUAGUUGAGGAUGGGGAGGUUGGGAGCAGGUCAAGGCGGGACCGGAACAGGCCUAGGAGAAGUGUUGAAAAAGCCAGAAAACAGUGAUUGAGAGAACUGCUCCAGGUUGAGGGGAUGCUCUAGGAGUGGUAGCUUUGCUGGAGGUUCAGCUCAGGGUCCUGGAGGUCAGAUACCAGGACUUGGAGGCCUCAAGAAAAGAGUGGGGAGCCAGCCCAGCAGGGCUUAGCUGGGCAAAGGAGAGACGUUUUUAAGGUUGUGAGCAGGCAUGACAGGCACUACUGGAGAGCCCAGAAACAAGGAUUAGGCACGUGCAGGCUUACGUGCAAAUUGCAAGUCUGCAUUUCUGUAAAACCGACAACAAUGGAAAAUGUGUAAUAGAUGGACCAAUCUAAAGAUAGUCUGGAAAAAUGACCUCACUUAAGGAAAAAUCGAGCAGUUAACUUCCUGCUCACUAGCAGGUCGAAGCCUAAUCUUUAAAACUGAUGUCCUUAUCUCAGAGCUCCCUAGGUGAUAAUAUUAGCCCUCACUGACAUGGUCUAUCUUCUCCGUAAAUACCUUUCCCUCUAACAACAACAAUAAAAAUGUAGCUUUCUAGCCCACGGGGCUGUUUUUUGUUUCCUAAUAUGCCCUGAACUGAACUCCUUGGUUUAUGGAAGAAGCUCAAUGUGAAACUGCAGAUCGAC